rnacentral:rRNA from 1 species
CGUAGGUGGCAAGCGUUGUCCGGAUUUAUUGGGUUUAAAGGGUGCGUAGGCGGCCCUGUAAGCCAGUGCUGAAAUAUCCCGGCUUAACCGGGAGGGUGGCAUUGAUACUGCAGGGCUUGAGUACAGAUGAAGUAGGCGGAAUUGACGGUGUAGCGGUGAAAUGCAUAGAUAUCGUCAAGAACACCGAUAGCGAAGGCAGCUUACUAAGCUGUAACUGACGCUGAGGCACGAAAGUGUGGGGAUCAAACAGGAUUAGAUACCCUGGUAGUCCACACUGUUAACGUUGAUGACUCGAUGUUGGCGAUACACAGCCAGCGUCCAAGAGCAAUCGUUAAGUCAUCCACCUGGGGAGUACGCCGGCAACGGUG